ensembl:lncRNA
CUUGCUGUCAGAGCUCCAACGCACUUCCAAGGGGCACUGUGGCCAUUGGGACACAUUGCCCAUCAACGCUUCAUCCAGCGUAAGCCCAAGUAUUUCAGCAACCGAAGCUCUGCCGGUUCCUCCAGGGAUUCACAGCAAACCUCAGUCCAUCAGGAGCUCCGAAAACAGCCUGGAUUUCCCUUAUCCUGCCUGCAUUUGGAGCCCCAGAGCCGCAACCAAGAGUUGGCUUGGAGAUCCCACAAACCCAGGCAAUAAUCAGGCAGAUUCCAAAGGCUCUGAAGACAGAGCAGUGCACAAACAGGUUGUUGGGGCCGUCCCACGUGUCAUCCCUUUUUAAUAUCAAAGAGGUAGAAGAGCAGCUCUGCAGGCACUCAAGUCAACCGCACUCACCGGAACUGCAGUAUGUUCCCCAGGUGUGUGCUGAGCAGCUGUACUUGGUACAACCAGAGAGAUUUGGGCUGGGAGAGGGACCUUACAGCCCAUCCACCUCCAACACGGGCAGGGAUCCAUCCUAUGGGGUUGCCCAAAGCCAAUCCACGUGGCUUUGGACAACGCACAGCCAAGAGCUGUGAUAUCCAACAGAAUCCACACGCGCGCGGCUGUUGCCUUGCUGUUUCCCAAAGCCAGGCAUCCAAACAUCCAUAAAAUUAUUAUUAUUUUUUUUUUUAAGCAAAAUUACUGGGAUACAACUAUACAUCCUAUACCUGUAAGCCGUAGGUGAAUAGUGGCACUUUUCCCAACCCUUGGGGGCUACAGCCCUGCUCCAAGAUCGCCGCCACAACCUACACCCAGCAGCCCUACAGUCGCAGCUCCGCGACACUCAACAGCGCUGAGAAAGAAGAGGAAUGCUUUGAAAUCAGAACAGAAAGGCACUCCUUGGUCAGCACAACCUGCUCCACAUCACUGCUUUUGCGCCGCCAGGUUGGUUAGUGAACGUUACACGUUUUGGUUCCUCUUCCUAAAGAGCCAAAAUUUCACCCAAAAUGUCACCGUUAGCGCAGCAAUUGCCCAUUGGGCCAACGGCACAGCAGCAAAAAAUGGACAUAAUUCUCCCCAAAUGACCCCAAACCCAUCCAGGAAUCACAGCCACGCAACGGUACCGACAGAGCACAGAAAUGCAGCUGUGAGCACUGAGAACAGAGAGGGAUUAAUCCGAAUUCGGGGGUAGGAAACGGCAUCAAAUGAGCACAGGGCUGAGAAGUCAGUGCUGGUGGCAAUCGUUGGGGGUCUACAGAGCCCAGAAAUGCUUUGGGGCAGAAGGGGGGGAAAUGGUGCUGGGCAUCUCCUGAGUGAUACAGAAAGGAUGAAAAUGGGGGGAAAAAAAGAGAGAGAGAAAAUAAGAAGAAAAAAAAGAGAUGGGAUGAAAAUGGGCAACAAAAGGGUCAAGGGGGGAAGAAAGUGGGCAAAAAAUAAAGAGAGAGAAGGGGGAAUAAAGAUAUAGAGGGUGAAAAUGGGUAGGAAGGGGAUGAAAACGGGCAAAAAAAUGUGAUAAAGAGGACAAAAAGGGGCAAAAAAUGGGACAUAGAGAAUGAAAAUGGGCAAAAGAAAAAGAGAGAAGGGGGAAUAAAGAUAUAGAGGGCGAAAAUGGGUAGGAAGGGGAUGAAAACGGGCAAAAAAAAAUGAUAAAGAGGACAAAAAUGGGCAAAAAAUGGGAUGUAGAGAAUGAAAAUGGGCAAAAAAUGGGAUGUAGAGAAUGAAAAUGGGCAAAAAGAAAACCCCAAGGGAUUGAGAGGAUG